AUCCGAGGGUCCCGCCCCACCCGGGAGAGCGCAAACCCGACGCGGAGAAAGCUGGAGAGCCUCAAACCCCAGGCACAAGCCUUCAUUUCCUCCCAGCGCAUCAUUGGCGGGCCUGACGCUGCUGCAGCCACUCAGCUGUUUACUAUUUACGGUUUGAGCUGGGCGCCGGGACCAGUAAGUGCCGGAGGGUAAGGCCUGGGAGCAGAUUGUGGGAAGCCGUCUAUCAAAACUCAGCUUCUAAGUUGAGUGAGGAGAAAGUAAAGGUGAAGAAUCUGCCCGAUGGCAAAUGGUGACAAAUGUUUAAGGAUGAACAGAAAACAGUGUUAUCAGAGCCCCUCACCCCAGGACAGGGUCCACUGGGAAGACGUCACAAC